rnacentral:rRNA from 1 species
UGGGGAAUAUUGCACAAUGGGGGAAACCCUGAUGCAGCAACGCCGCGUGAGUGAUGACGGUCUUCGGAUUGUAAAGCUCUGUCUUCAGGGACGAUAAUGACGGUACCUGAGGAGGAAGCCACGGCUAACUACGUGCCAGCAGCCGCGGUAAUACGUAGGUAGCAAGCGUUGUCCGGAUUUACUGGGCGUAAAGGGAGCGUAGGUCGAUAUUUAAGUGGGAUGUGAAAUACUCGGGCUUAACCUGGGUGCUGCAUUCCAAACUGGAUUUCUAGAGUGCAGGAGAGGAAAGUAGAAUUCCUAGUGUAGCGGUGAAAUGCGUAGAGAUUAGGAAGAAUACCAGUGGCGAAGGCGACUUUCUGGAUUGUAACUGACACUGAGGCUCGAAAGCGUGGGGAGCAAACAG